UACGGAGGAUGCAAGCGUUAUCCGGAAUUAUUGGGCGUAAAGCGUCCGCAGGUGGCAAUUCAAGUCUGCUGUUAAAGGUCAGGGCUCAACCCUGAACAGGCAGUGGAAACUGAAUAGCUAGAGUGCGGUAGGGGCAGAGGGAAUUCCCAGUGUAGCGGUGAAAUGCGUAGAGAUUGGGAAGAACACCGGUGGCGAAAGCACUCUGCUGGGCCGUCACUGACACUCAGAGACGAAAGCUAGGGGAGCGAAUGGG
rnacentral:rRNA from 1 species